rnacentral:rRNA from 1 species
ACCGGCUAACUCCGUGCCAGCAGCCGCGGUAAUACGGAGGGGUGCGAGCGUUAAUCGGAAUUACUGGGCGUAAAGCGCAUGCAGGCGGCCUGUUAAGUCAGAUGUGAAAGCCCGGGGCGUUAACCUCGGAAUUGCAUUUGAAACUGGCAGGCUAGAGUCUUGUAGAGGGGGGUAGGAAUUUCUAGGUGUAGCGGUGAAAUGCGUAGAGAUCUGAAGGAAUACCAGUGGCGAAGGCGGCCCCCCUCGGACAAAGACUGACGCUCAGAUGCGAAAGCGUGGGGAGCAAACAGGAUUAGAUACCCCUGGUAG